CCAGAUCACUAAACGACCGCUGGCACGUGGGUGAGAAGUCACGGCGUGCGAGAGGAAAGUCCGGGCAGUAUAGGGCAAUGACAGUCGCUAACGGCGACCGCGCGCGAGCGUAGGGAAAGUGCCACAGAAACGAAACCGCCAAGUCCCAAAAGGACGGUAAGGGUGAAAGGAGCGGGGUAAGAGCCCGCAGCGAUGCAUGGUGACAUGCAAAGGAGGUAAACCCUGUCAACUGCAAGGAGGUUGGACCACCGGCGGCCCGUCGGCUAACCGUUUUAACCCGCUGGAUUACGUCGGCAACGGCGUGACUAGAUAGAUGGUCGUUCACGACAAAACCCGGCUUACCGGUGGUCUGGCACC
rnacentral:RNase_P_RNA from 1 species